CAGUAGCCGCGGUAAUACGUAGGGUGCAAGCGUUAAUCGGAAUUACUGGGCGUAAAGCGUGCGCAGGCGGUUUUGUAAGACAGAGGUGAAAUCCCCGGGCUCAACCUGGGAACUGCCUUUGUGACUGCAAGGCUAGAGUACGGCAGAGGGGGAUGGAAUUCCGCGUGUAGCAGUGAAAUGCGUAGAUAUGCGGAGGAACACCGAUGGCGAAGGCAAUCCCCUGGGCCUGUACUGACGCUCAUGCACGAAAGCGUGGGGAGCAAACAGGAUUAGAUACCCCUGUAGUCCCUGUCUCUUAUAC
rnacentral:rRNA from 1 species